AAGCUGUGAUGAUAACAUUUGCUGUCUGUAAAGAUGGUGAAGACAUUUUAUCUACCACCUAGAUCUCUGAGCUU